rnacentral:rRNA from 1 species
UUCAGACGAUGCGUCAUGCAUAUCAAUAAGCGGAGGAAAAGAAACUAACAAGGAUUCCCUUAGUAACGGCGAGUGAAGCGGGAAGAGCUCAAAUUUGAAAUCUUCAAGGUUCUACCUUGACGAAUUGUAGUUUAAAGAAGUGUUUUCUGUUGAAGUUUUGGUAAAAGUUCUUUGGAAUAGGACAUCAUAGAGGGUGAGAAUCCCGUAUUUGACCAUUAUCUCCAGCUGUGUGAUACACUUUCAAAGAGUCGGAUUGUUUGGGAAUGCAGUCCAAAAUGGGUGGUAAAUUUCAUCUAAAGCUAAAUAUUGGCGAGAGACCGAUAGCGAACAAGUACCGUGAGGGAAAGAUGAAAAGAACUUUGAAAAGAGAGUUAAACAGUACGUGAAAUUGUCAAAAGGGAAGCGUUUGACACCAGUGUUGUUUUCUCGAAAAUCAAUUAAAAAGAGUUGGAUUUUGUGUUGUAUUGACCUUAACAGCUUGCUUCACUCUUUUCCUGCUUUUUUUAAUGCACUUUUCGUUUAACAAGUCAACAUCAGUUUCUUUUGUUGUAAAAGGGUCAUUGGAAGGUGGCUUUCUCUUCGGAGAAAGUGUUUAUAGCCUUUGAUCUCUGCAAUCGGAGAGACUGAGGUCUGCAGCGUAGAUCCUUCGGGGUUAGAUACAUUUGUGCUAAGCUACAGCUUUUCAUAGACAACUUGUUGACUAUGUUUAGUCUUGUAACUUACCCGCUUAUGCUAUUUUACCUACGCUUAGGAUGUUGAUAUGCAUGACUGAUAU